GGCAUUAGACCUUGUAAAUUGGCCUGUGGAGCUGACCAAUUCAAUCCUGAAACUGAAUCAGGAAAGAAAGCGAUCACUAGCUUCUUCAAUUGGUACCAUUUCACCUUCACUUUUGCCAUGAUAAUAUCCUUGACAGUGGUAGUAUACGUUCAAUCUGACAUAAGCUGUGCUUGGGGGCUUGCAAUUCCGGCAUUUAUGAUGUUCUUGGCAUGCGUAGUGUUUUUCAAGGGUUCAAGGAUUUAUGUGAAAGUGAAGCAGAUGGUAAUCCCUUGACAAGUGCAAUCCAGGUCAUAGUGGCUGCAAUUAAGAAGAGAAAACUCCAUUUGCCAGAGCAACCAUGGUUAUCCAUUUUUAACCAUAUUCCAGCUACUUCUAUCAAUUCCAAGCUUCCCUACACUGACCAAUUCAGAUUUCUCGACAAAGCAGCAAUAAUAACCCCUGAAGACAAAAUUGACUCAAAUGGAUCAGCAGCGGUUCCUUGGAGACUUUGCAGCAUGCAGCAGGUGGAGGAAGUAAAAUGUUUAGUGAGAGUGAUUCCCAUAUGGGCCUCAGCUCUCUUAUACUAUGUUCCCACAAAUCCGCGGCAAACGCAUGUAGUCGUCCAGGCUCUUCAAUCCGACAAACGCCUAGGCAAUUCCAAUUUUCCCGAGGUUGUUUUUGUGUUAAAAUCAAGGAAAUAGAGUAGAAGAAAUAUAUGUUUUAUAUUUUCCUUUCCCCUUACCCAUAACAAGGG
rnacentral:misc_RNA from 1 species